UGCCAGCAGCCGCGGUAAUACAGAGGGUGCGAGCGUUAAUCGGAAUUACUGGGCGUAAAGCGUGCGUAGGUGGCAAAAUUAGUUAGGUGUGAAAUCCCCGGGCUUAACCUGGGAACUGCGCCUAAUACUGUUUUGCUAGAGUACUGUAGAGGGAAGUGGAAUUUCCGGUGUAGCGGUGAAAUGCGUAGAUAUCGGAAGGAACACCAGUGGCGAAGGCGACUUCCUGGAUUGUUUCUGACGCUGAGGUACGAAAGCGUGGGUAGCGAACGGGAUUAGAUA
rnacentral:rRNA from 1 species